rnacentral:rRNA from 1 species
AUUGAACGCUGGCGGCAUGCCUUGCACAUGCAAGUCGAACGGUAACAGGCCGCAAGGUGCUGACGAGUGGCGAACGGGUGAGUAAUGCAUCGGAACGUGCCCAGUCGUGGGGGAUAACUGCUCGAAAGAGCAGCUAAUACCGCAUACGAUCUAUGGAUGAAAGCGGGGGACCGUAAGGCCUCGCGCGAUUGGAGCGGCCGAUGUCAGAUUAGGUAGUUGGUGGGGUAGAGGCUCACCAAGCCAACGAUCUGUAGCUGGUCUGAGAGGACGACCAGCCACACUGGGACUGAGACACGGCCCAGACUCCUACGGGAGGCAGCAGUGGGGAAUUUUGGACAAUGGGGGCAACCCUGAUCCAGCAACGCCGCGUGCAGGAAGAAGGCCUUCGGGUUGUAAACUGCUUUUGUACGGAACGAAACGGUCUGGGUUAAUACCCUGGGCUAAUGACGGUACCGUAAGAAUAAGCACCGGCUAACUACGUGCCAGCCGCCGCAGUAACAC